GUGUGUGUAUAUAAUGCAGUGUGUUUGUGUAGUGUGCAUUAAAUAAACACACUACACAAACACACUGCAUUAUAUACACACUAU